AGGAAGGUAGAAUUCCCGGUGUAGCGGUGAAAUGCGUAGAGAUCGGGAGGAAUACCAGUGGCGAAGGCGGCUUUCUGGACUGACACUGACACUGAGGUGCGAAAGCGUGGGUAGCAAACAGGAUUAGAUACCCUGGUAGUCCACGCCGUAAACGAUGUCGACCAGCCGUUGGGUGCCUAGCGCACUUUGUGGCGAAGUUAACGCGAUAAGUCGACCGCCUGGGGAGUACGGCCGCAAGGUUAAAACUCAAAUGAAUUGACGGGGGCCCGCACAAGCGGUGGAGCAUGUGGUUUAAUUCGAUGCAACGCGAAGAACCUUACCUACUCUUGACAUCCUGCGAAUUCGGUAGAGAUACCUUAGUGCCUUCGGGAGCGCAGAGACAGGUGCUGCAUGGCUGUCGUCAGCUCGUGUUGUGAAAUGUUGGGUUAAGUCCCGUAACGAGCGCAACCCUUGUCCUUAUUUGCCAGCACGUAAUGGUGGGAACUCUAAGGAGACUGCCGGUGACAAACCGGAGGAAGGUGGGGACGACGUCAAGUCAUCAUGGCCCUUACGAGUAGGGCUACACACGUGCUACAAUGGCCGGUACAAAGGGCUGCGAGCUCGCGAGAGUCAGCGAAUCCCUUAAAGCCGGUCUCAGUCCGGAUCGGAGUCUGCAACUCGACUCCGUGAAGUCGGAAUCGCUAGUAAUCGUGAAUCAGAAUGUCACGGUGAAUACGUUCCCGGGCCUUGCACACACCGCCCGU
rnacentral:rRNA from 1 species